CGGUUCCCCAGGAUGGCGCAUCCAGCUCCAGUUCCGGAGCUUCACUGCUGCCGGCAGGUUGUUCAUCUUCUUAUUUGGUAAAUAGUUCUUCAGUUGUGUGAACGUUCCUCAGUUUCGGCUCCAAGAAAAGGAGAAGUACCAGCAGAGCACUUCCACGUAAGUUCAGAGUUCCUCCAUGUUUUUAUUUCGUUCGUCGCCAACAGGUAGCCACGUGUUGUGUUUUUCUCAAGUUCGUGUUGAACUACUUACUUUUCUUGCUGUCUGUACAAAUAUCAGACUGAAGAUUUGUAGAAUUCCAAUAGAUCACCGUUAUAUGUUGCAAACUGAUCUUAUGUUUUUCUUUUUCUUUUUGAAUGGUCAGUUUUCAAUUCCAUGUCUUGCAGUCCGUAAGAGGAUUUAGACUUACCAGAACUGCAAGAACUGCAACAGCGAGCGUAAAUGCCAAAAGUUCCCUGAUUGCUUUAACUACAUCCUCUAGAACAAUAUGGGAAAAUGUCGAAUGUAUGAAUACCCAUGUUAUGACAUGGCGAGCUUUCACAUUGCAAAAGCCUUGAUGUUUAGGGAAACGGUAAUGGAUUAGUUGAUAUUCUGUCGUCUAUGGGACUACAAACUGUCAAUUUGAGCUUACUACUUGAUUAUUUUGAUUCUUCUGUGGGAGAAACAAAAACAAUAUUUUUUGCAAAUUAGUAUUAUUUUUAAUGGCCUGCUAGCCUCCUUCAUUGUAACUUGAUUUCGAUGUGAUAAUUUCGGGGGAAAAAAACUGUUGGUCAUAUGUUGUUCCUUUCCUGCGCUUCUGCAGGUUUUUGGCGCUUGGCGGCGGUGAGGCGUGCCCCUUCUGUCUGCUUGAUUCUAUUUUCUUUUAUUUCUGGACUGAUUUGGUGUGGAUUUUUUACUUCUCUUUUGUGGCAGAUGGACGGGAUGUCAAUGAUGGGAGACGAGAUUGACUACAUGAAGGAGCCACUGCAGCGGA